rnacentral:rRNA from 1 species
GGSUUAUUGAUGAUAAUAUUAGGUUUGGCCUGCUCUAUGAUUAAAUUAAAUGGCCGCAGUAUUUUGACUGUGCAAAGGUAGCAUAAUCAAUAGUUUUUUAAUUGAAAGCUUGUAUGAAGGGUUUGAUGAAAAAAUAACUGUCUCUUAAUAAAUUUUAGAAUUUUAUUUUUAAGUAAAAAAGCUUAAAUAUAUAUAGAAGACGAGAAGACCCUAUAGAGUUUUAAAUUUUUAAGAGUUAAUAUUAUUUUAGAAUUAAGAAAUUUUACUUAUAUAAAUUUUUUGUUGGGGUGAUAGAAAAAUUUAAUAAACUUUUUUAUAUUUAUACAUAAAUAUAUGAAUAUAUGAUCCUUAAUUUAAGAUUAUUAGAUUAAAUUACCUUAGGGAUAACAGCGUAAUUUUUUUUAAAAGUUCAAAUUAAAAAAAAAGUUUGCGACCUCGAUGUUGGAUUAAAAUUUAUUAUUGGUGUAGAAGCUAAUAAAUUAGGUCUGUUCGACCUUUAAAAUUUUACAUGAUCUGAGUUUAAACCGGUGUAAGCCAGGUCGGUUUCUAUC